rnacentral:rRNA from 1 species
UACAGAGGGGCGAGCGUUGUUCGGAAUUACUGGGCGUAAAGGGCGCGUAGGCGGCCUGUUAAGUCGGACGUGAAAUCCCUCGGCUCAACCGGGGAACUGCGUCCGAUACUGGCGGGCUUGAAUUCGGGAGAGGGAUGUGGAAUUCCAGGUGUAGCGGUGAAAUGCGUAGAUAUCUGGAGGAACACCGGUGGCGAAGGCGGCAUCCUGGACCGACAUUGACGCUGAGGCGCGAAAGCUAGGG